rfam:Ovis aries breed Texel chromosome 17, whole genome shotgun sequence.
UCCCUGAUGGUCCAGUGGUUAGGACUCCUUGCUGUCACUGCUGAGGACUCAGGUUCAGUCCCUGGUCAGGGAA